UACAGAGGUCUCAAGCGUUGUUCGGAUUCAUUGGGCGUAAAGGGUGCGUAGGCGGCGCGGUAAGUCGGGUGUGAAAUCUUGGAGCUUAACUCCGAAACUGCAUUCGAUACUGCCGUGCUUGAGGACUGGAGAGGAGACUGGAAUUUACGGUGUAGCGGUGAAAUGCGUAGAUAAUCGUAAGGAAGACCAGUGGCGAAGGCGGGUCUCUGGACAAUAGCUGACACUCAGGCACGAAAGCGUGGGGAGCAAAAGGG
rnacentral:rRNA from 1 species